rnacentral:rRNA from 1 species
UACGUAGGGUGCGAGCGUUGUCCGGAAUUAUUGGGCGUAAAGAGCUCGUAGGCGGUCUGUCGCGUCGAAUGUGAAAACCCGGGGCUCAACUCCGGGCUUGCAUUCGAUACGGGCAGACUGGAGUGCGGUAGGGGAGAUCGGAAUUCCUGGUGUAGCGGUGGAAUGCGCAGAUAUCAGGAGGAACACCGGUGGCGAAGGCGGGUCUCUGGGACGGUACUGACGCUGAGACGCGAAAGCGUGGGGAGCGAACAGG